ACCUCUGGUCCUCACACAGGCAAAGUGAGCCGUCUCUCCAGACCGAUGCAACACUGUUUUACAUCAAACUUACAAGAAUUGCUCUGCUGGGUAUAUAGCUCAGUGGAAGAACACUAGCCUGGCAUGUAUGAGGCCAUAGGUUCAGUCCCCAAUGGUGCAGAAACAAAACCAGCAACAACAAGCCCACAAACCAUCACCACCAGCAGCAGCAGCAACCACCACCACAAACUAGGCAAAGAUUCCAUUUCAAAAAGAAAGAUCUAAACAAACAGCGGACCUGCAGGUUUAAGGGAUUACUGUGCAUUUCAGGUGCCACCCUGGUGUUUUUGUUGGCCUGCAGUGCUGCUACAUUGUAUCCAAUGACAAACUCAGAAGAAACAAAAGCUUUCCCAGCCAUGAAUAGGCAGAAACUUCUGGGAAGCAAGACAAGUGAAGACGUAUGACUCGACAAACAACACAGACUUAAUUGCUUACAGCUUCCCGGAGACACAAUCUCUUCAGUUCCUCCAGCCUCUGGCGCAGCGUCUCCUCCAGAGCUUCCUGCCUGGAUUUCAAGGCAGCCAACAUGUCUUUCUUGGCCGACUGAGAGCUAUCUGAUUCCUGAGAACCUGUUGAUAAACAGCGGGGGUUACUAGGCGGCUC
rnacentral:lncRNA from 1 species